UACAGGACAACGCUGGCGGCGUGCUUAAUACAUGCAAGUCAACUUGACUUUAGAUAGCAAUAUCGAAAAGUAGGGUGGCGCACGGGUGCGUAACGCGUAGGUAAUCUGCCCUGAGGUCUGACAUAACCCGUCGAAAGGCGGGCUAACAUCAGAUGAUAUAUAAUCACGACAUCGUGGAAAUAUCAAAUCUUCGGAGCCUUGGGAUGAGCCUGCGUCUGAUUAGGUAGUUGGCGGAGUAAUAGCCCACCAAGCCUACGAUCAGUAGCUGGUCUGAGAGGAUGAUCAGCCACACUGGAACUGAGACACGGUCCAGACUCCUACGGGAGGCAGCAGUAAGGAAUAUUGCUCAAUGGGGGGAAACCCUGAAGCAGCAACGCCGCGUGAAGGAUGAAAUACUUUUGUAUGUAAACUUCUGUAAGAUGGGAAAAAUAUUCUCCUCGGGAGAAUUGAUUGUACCAUCAGAGUAAGCCCCGGCUAACUACGUG
rnacentral:rRNA from 1 species